GACGAACGCUGGCGGCGUGCCUAAUACAUGCGAGUUGAGCGCUGAAGGUUGGUACUUGUACCAACUGGAUGAGCAGCGAACGGGUGAGUAACGCGUGGGGAAUCUGCCUUUGAGCGGGGGACAACAUUUGGAAACGAAUGCUAAUACCGCAUAAAAACUUUAAACACAAGUUUUAAGUUUGAAAGAUGCAAUUGCAUCACUCAAAGAUGAUCCCGCGUUGUAUUAGCUAGUUGGUGAGGUAAAGGCUCACCAAGGCGAUGAUACAUAGCCGACCUGAGAGGAUGAUCGGCCACAUUGGGACUGAGACACGGCCCAAGCUCCUACGGGAGGCAGCAGGAGGGAAUCUUCGGCAAUGGACGAAAGUCUGACCGAGCAACGCCGCGUGAGUGAAGAAGGUUUUCGGAUCGUAAAACUCUGUUGGUAGAGAAGAACGUUGGUGAGAGUGGAAAGCUCAUCAAGUGACGGUAACUACCCAGAAAGGGACGGCUAACUACGUG
rnacentral:rRNA from 1 species